GACAGAUACUAAGCUUCCGGAUUUUCAGGGCGGGGCGGAACGUGCCCAAACACUUCUUCCGCCGGCAUUGGCUGGCGCUAACAUUAUUUACGA
rnacentral:ncRNA from 1 species